rnacentral:rRNA from 1 species
GUAUGGGGAUCUGCCCGAUAGAGGGGGAUAACUACUGGAAACGGUGGCUAAUGCCGCAUAAUGUCUACGGACCAAAGCAGGGGCUCUUCGGACCUUGCACUAUCGGAUGAACCCAUAUGGGAUUAGCUAGUAGGUGGGGUAAAGGCUCACCUAGGCGACGAUCUCUAGCUGGUCUGAGAGGAUGAUCAGCCACACUGGGACUGAGACACGGCCCAG